AAGGUCUUGGGAAAUGUUCAACUCCUGAGGGUUCCUCAUCCGAUACAGGAGUUCAAACCUUGACCUAGAUUAACAAAAGCUGAACUUCAAAGUUCAUCUUGGCAGUAACAGGUGUGAACAUCUUAAGAGGGUUUUGUUGUUCAUGUAUAAUGCUGCAUACAAAA